GACGAACGCUGGCGGCGUGCCUAAUACAUGCAAGUUGAGCGCUGAAGGUUGGUACUUGUACCAACUGGAUGAGCAGCGAACGGGUGAGUAACGCGUGGGGAAUCUGCCUUUGAGCGGGGGACAACAUUUGGAAACGAAUGCUAAUACCGCAUAAAAACUUUAAACACAAGUUUUAAGUUUGAAAGAUGCAAUUGCAUCACUCAAAGAUGAUCCCGCGUUGUAUUAGCUAGUUGGUGAGGUAAAGGCUCACCAAGGCGAUGAUACAUAGCCGACCUGAGAGGGUGAUCGGCCACAUUGGGACUGAGACACGGCCCAAACUCCUACGGGAGGCAGCAGUAGGGAAUCUUCGGCAAUGGACGAAAGUCUGACCGAGCAACGCCGCGUGAGUGAAGAAGGUUUUCGGAUCGUAAAACUCGGUUGGUAGAGAUGAACGUUGGUGAGAGUGGAAAGCUCAUCAAGUGACGGUAACUACCCAGAAAGGGACGGCUAACUACGUG
rnacentral:rRNA from 1 species